rnacentral:sRNA from 1 species
UUUUCGUCUGUAGAAAAGAGGAUGAGAACCUCCGAAGGAGGUUUGAGCCGAGCGUAGCGAGACAACGUUGCUUCGUUGCUUCAGCAACGGCCCGAAGGGCACUGCUCGCAGAGCAGCGUCAUCCUCUCUCGCCGACCA